GGGUCUCUGUAGCUGUGGUGUGUUUGAUAGGAAAUGAAGCUCGGUAUCAGACUAUGAAGUGUGUGAUCCUUUAGCAACAUUCAGGUGACAGAAGCCAGAAGGAAAGUACUGGUAUUUGCAAGUGCGUGGGCAGUUCUACUAUUAGCAUGGCACAACUGUGUAUGAGUUUUGUCACAAAAGCUCUAUUUUAAAUUCUACUAGAUUUGCAGAGAUGAGUAAAAAAUCCUUACCAUGUAGAUUUCAGCUAAAAUAUGAAAAUUAAGUUUUGAAUUGUGAAGUGCAGCUUAGAAUCUCUUCUUUAGAAUAUCUCAAUGCUGAUGUUGAGCAUCUCUUUUUUUUCUGAAAGGCACGAAUGCCAGUUUAUCUUUAAAUGCUGUUUGGAAUGAGAAGGAAUAUUCUCUGACAAGUUACUUACAGUGCAGGAACUGCCUCGUCCAGUCAGUGUCUCCAUGCCCUUUGAUAGGAGCUGAGGUUACUCAUUUCAGCAAUAAAGCACAGUCAUGGUGGAAAGAAAUCUUGGUUAGCUCCUAGGCUAGGGAAGAGCAACACGGGCUAAAAAAGACCACAUCUGGCUUUGGGGAGUCAUUCUGCAAGCUGGUGGCUUUCAGUAGAAACGUAUCUAAUCUCUUAAUGCACCUCUUUGUUUCAAAGAGACUCGAGGGGGAAAAAAAAAUCCCAUUAUCUUCAAUAGACCUG
rnacentral:lncRNA from 1 species